rnacentral:tRNA from 1 species
AAUAUAGUGCCUGAAAUUAAAAAGGGUAGCUUUGAUAGAGCUAAUAAUGUAAAAUUUUCCUUACCUAUAUUA